UCAAACGGCCAUAGGGGAGGGGAAACACCCAAACACAUUCCGAACUUGGAAGUUAAGACCUCCCACGAUACGACAUACUGCCCUAACCGGCGGAAAAGCGUAUUGCUGUUUGGC
rnacentral:rRNA from 1 species